UGGAUACUUCUAGUAAUUCUGGAGCUAAUACACGUGAGCACUUCGGUGUCAUUUAUUAGAUUCACCAACCGCUUCGGCGUCAAGUGAUGAUUCUGAAUAUCUUGCAGACCGCAUGCGUAAGCGGCGGCUAUUCGCGAAAUUAGCUGCCCUAUCAACUUUUGAUGGUAGUUUAGUUGACUACCAUGGUCGUAACGGGUAACGGAGGAUCAGGGUUUGACUCCGGAGAGGAUGCCUGAGAAACGGCAACCACAUCUAAGGAAGGCAGCAGGCGCGCAAAUUACCCACUCUCAAUUCGAGGAGGUAGUGACAACAACUAACGAGACUGCUCCCUAUGGGAACAGUCAUCGAAAUGGGUACAAUUUAAACCCUUUAACGAGGAUCAAUGAGAGGGCAAGUCUGGUGCCAGCAGCCGCGGUAAUUCCAGCUCUCAGAGUGUAUGUCAUUAUUGCUGCGGUUAAAAAGCUCGUAGUUGGAUCUGAGCCUUUGGAUACGGUUCACCUCUGGUGAUACUGGCUCCGGGGUUAAUUUCGUCGGUUCUCCGGCGAGAGUUACUCUGAAUAAAUCAGAGUGCUCAAAACAAGCGUUUCGCUUGAAUGUUUUUGCAUGGAAUAAUGGAAAAGGACUUCGGUUCCUUACUGUUGGUUUCGGAAUUGGAUUAAUGAUUAAGAGGGACCAACGGGGGCAUGCGUACCGCUACGCGAGAGGUGAAAUUCAUGGACCGUAGCGUGACGAACUAAAGCGAAAGCAUUUGCCAAGAAUGUCUUCAUUAAUCAAGAACGAAAGUCAGAGGUUCGAAGGCGAUAGAAAAACCCGCCCAACAUAUGCCAAGAAUGUUUUCAUUAAUCAAGAACGAAAGUUAGGGGUUCGAAGGCGAUCAGAUACCGCCCA
rnacentral:rRNA from 1 species